rnacentral:rRNA from 1 species
UACGGAGGAUGCAAGCGUUAUCCGGAAUGACUGGGCGUAAAGCGUCCGCAGGUGGCUGUGUAUGUCUGCUGUCAAAGAGCGAAGCUCAACUUCGUAAAGGCAGUGGAAACUACACGGCUAGAGUGCGUUCGGGGCAGAGGGAAUUCCUGGUGUAGCGGUGAAAUGCGUAGAGAUCAGGAAGAACACCGGUGGCGAAGGCGCUCUGCUAGGCCGCAACUGACACUGAGGGACGAAAGCUAGGGGAGCGAAUGGG